UUAAUACCGGAUAGAUCAAAGAAACUGGAAUGUUCUCUGGUUUAAAACUCCGGUGCCCAAGGAUGGGUCUGCGGCCUAUCAGGUAGUAGUGGGUGUAACGUACCUACUAGCCAGCGACGGGUAAGGGUUGUGAGAGCAAGAUCCCUGAGAUGGAUUCUGAGACAUGAAUCCAGGCCCUACGGGGUGCAGCAGGCGCGAAAACUUUACACUGCGGGAAACCGCGAUAAGGGGACCCCGAGUGCCAGCACCUAGUGCUGGCUGUCCUACUGUCUAAAUAACAGUGGUUAGCAAGGGCCGGGCAAGACCGGUGCCAGCCGCCGCGGUAACACCGGCGGCCCGAGUGGUAACCGUUUUUAUUGGGUUUAAAGGGUCCGUAGCCGGCUUACUAAGUCUCUUGGGAAAUCUGGCGGCUCAAUCGUCAGGCGUUCA
rnacentral:rRNA from 1 species